UGAACAUUGUAAACUUUUAGUUUAGCAUUUUCAAUUGUGCAUCACUUUUAUUUUUUCUCUCCCUUGUUGGUGUCAAGAGAACUAGCACUAGUUGAAGCAGAGAGAAAGAUGCAAUACCUUUGUGAUAUCACUCUCGGUUAUGAGAAGAGCUUUGAGAUUUUAUGGGUAUAUCAUCUCAGUCAACUUGAAACAAUUCAAUUUUCAUAAUGCUGUUUCGAAACGGAAAGAUUUGACGAUACUUCAUCGUUGUCAUUCCUCGGACUCCACUCUACUUUGAUUCUGAAAGAUUUCACGAAAUUACAUCUGAGUAAUUUCAACAAGUCAAUCUGAUUUCUGAACUGCUA